AUUGAACGCUGGCGGCAGGCCUAACACAUGCAAGUCGAGCGGAGCGGCGGACGGGUGAGUAAUGCCUAGGAAUCUGCCUGGUAGUGGGGGAGAACGUCCGGAAACGGGCGCUAAUACCGCAUACUAUCAGAUGAGCCUAGGUAGGAUUAGCUAGUUGGUGGGGUAAAGGCCUACCAAGGCGACGAUCCAUAGCUGGUCUGAGAGGAUGACCAGCCACACUGGAACUGAGACACGGUCCAGCCUCCUACGGGAGGCAGCGGUGGGAAAUAUUGCACAUUGGGCGAAAGCCUGAUGCAGCCAUGCCGCGUGUAUGAGGAAGUCCUGCGGGUUGUAAAGUACUUUCAUCGGGGAGGCGUUACCCGCAGAAUAAGCACCGGCUAACUCCGUGCCAGCAGCCGCGGUAAUUC
rnacentral:rRNA from 1 species